rnacentral:rRNA from 1 species
GAGUUUGAUCAUGGCUCAGGAUGAACGCUGGCGGCGUGGAUAAGGCAUGCAAGUAGAACGCCCCGCAAGGGGAGUCGCGAACGAGGUAGUAAUACAUAGGUACAAACCCCCGAGUCAGGAAUAACCUACCGAAAGGUAGGCUAAUACUUGAUAGUCCCGCAAGGGUAAAGAUUUAUCGCUUGGGGAUUGGCCUGUGCAGUAUCAGCUAGUUGGUAGGGUAAUAGCCUACCAAGGCAAUGACGCUUAGGGGAGGUGAGAGCCUGGCCCCCACCGAUGGUACUGAGACACGGACCAUACACCUACGGGUGGCUGCAGUCGAGAAUCUUCCGCAAUGGACGCAAGUCUGACGGAGCGACGCCGCGUGACUGAUGAAGUCUUUCGGGAUGUAAAGGUCUUUUAUGAAGGAGAAAGUUUUGAUAGUACUUCAUGAAUAAGGGGUUGCUAAACUCGUGCCAGCAGCAGCGGUAAUACGAGUACCCCAAGCGUUAUCCGGAAUUAUUGGGCGUAAAGGGUAUGUAGGUUGUUAUGUUAGUCUUUUGUCAAAGCCUUCGGCUCAACCGGAGAAUUGCGGGAGAAACGG